rnacentral:tRNA from 1 species
GAAGGGGCAGACAACUUGAACUGCUAAAUCGAGAAACCAGGCUUAACCCCCUGGCCCCCUCA